UACGAAGGGGGCUAGCGUUGCUCGGAAUCACUGGGCGUAAAGCGCACGUAGGCGGAUUGCUAAGUCAGGGGUGAAAUCCUGGAGCUCAACUCCAGAACUGCCUUUGAUACUGGCGAUCUUGAGUCCGGGAGAGGUGAGUGGAACUGCGAGUGUAGAGGUGAAAUUCGUAGAUAUUCGCAAGAACACCAGUGGCGAAGGCGGCUCACUGGCCCGGUAUUGACGCUGAGGCGCGAAAGCCAGGGGAGCAAACGGG
rnacentral:rRNA from 1 species